AGCAUAUCAAUAAGCGGAGGAAAAGAAACCAACAGGGAUUGCCCUAGUAACGGCGAAGUGAAGCGGCAACAGCUCAAAUUUGAAAUCUGGCUUCGGCCCGAGUUGUAAUUUGUAGAGGAUGCUUUUGGCGAGGUGCCUUCUGAGUUCCCUGGAACGGGACGCCAGAGAGGGUGAGAGCCCCGUAUAGUCGGACACCUAGCCUCUGUAAAGCUCCUUCGACGAGUCGAGUAGUUUGGGAAUGCUGCUCAAAAUGGGAGGUAUAUCUCUUCUAAAGCUAAAUAUAGGCCAGAGACCGAUAGCGCACAAGUAGAGUGAUCGAAAGAUGAAAAGCACUUUGAAAAGAGGGUUAAAUAGCACGUGAAAUUGUUGAAAGGGAAGCGCUUGUGACCAGACUUGUGCCGGGCUGAUCAUCCAGUGUUCUCACUGGUGCACUCGACCCGGCUCAGGCCAGCGUCGGUUCUCGCGGGGGGAUAAAAGCGCCGGGAACGUGGCUCCUCCGGGAGUGUUAUAGCCCGGCGUUUAAUACCCUCGCGGGGACCGAGGUUCGCGCUCUGCAAGGACGCUGGCAUAAUGGUCAUCAGCGACCCGUCUUGAAACACGGACCAAGGAGUCGAGGUUUUGCGCGAGUGUUUGGGUGUAAAACCCGCACGCGUAAUGAAAGUGAACGUAGGUGAGAGCUUCGGCGCAUCAUCGACCGAUCCUGAUGUAUUCGGAUGGAUUUGAGUAAGAGCGUAAAGCCUCGGACCCGAAAGAUGGUGAACUAUGCCUGAAUAGGGUGAAGCCAGAGGAAACUCUGGUGGAGGCUCGCAGCGGUUCUGACGUGCAAAUCGAUUCGUCAAAUUUGGGCAUGGGGGCGAAAGACUAAUCGAACCAUCUAGUAGCUGGUUACCGC
rnacentral:rRNA from 1 species